GUGGGGAAUAUUGCACAAUGGGCGCAAGCCUGAUGCAGCGACGCCGCGUGAGGGAUGGAGGCCUUCGGGUUGUAAACCUCUUUCGCCAGUGAAGCAGGCCGCCUCCUUGUGGGGUGGUUGACGGUAGCUGGAUAAGAAGCGCCGGCUAACUACGUGCCAGCAGCCGCGGUAAUACGUAGGGCGCGAGCGUUGUCCGGAAUUAUUGGGCGUAAAGAGCUCGUAGGCGGCUGGUCGCGUCUGUCGUGAAAUCCCCUGGCUUAACUGGGGGCUUGCGGUGGGUACGGGCCGGCUUGAGUGCGGUAGGGGAGACUGGAAUUCCUGGUGUAGCGGUGGAAUGCGCAGAUAUCAGGAGGAACACCGGUGGCGAAGGCGGGUCUCUGGGCCGUUACUGACGCUGAGGAGCGAAAGCGUGGGGAGCGAACAGGA
rnacentral:rRNA from 1 species